rnacentral:misc_RNA from 1 species
CGUUCCUCUUGUGGACACUCGCGGAUUUAACGAAUUAUCAAAACAAAUCCGAUUCUUAACGAAUUGCACACGACAUGUGUACUCUACUCCAUUUAGAUUCUGCCACACCGUUUAUUGUAAUUUUUACAUGGCCUUAUACUCUAUGGUGCUAUACAUCAAACACAGUAAACACGCCGACGUUUCAUAGCAGGCUGAGAUUGUGCGACUGCUGCGAUCGAUCGCGAGAGUCAGAAACACGAGCGAUGUAUACCUAUAUGCAGCGUAGAGACAAGACUCCUUGUCGACACCAUUAUGUUACAAAUGAAAGAAUAUUUCCGAACAAUAGUUUCGUUCCUUUCAACAGGAGGUGAAACGGAAAUCCAUUGAACAGAUCGAUAAACAAAGUUUUUAAAAUAUGAAACUUUGUGGUAGACGGUGCUGCCACGAGUACUUUCAAAUCGAUAGCGCGGGAGACAUUUUCACAAGAUUAUCGAUUAUAUGCUUAUUUUGUGAAAAUAUAAAACUUCGAUUAACAAUUUUGCAAAGUUGUCACGUGCAUUUUGUAUUUUAUAUAAUUUAAUUGUAUCAAAUUCGUACAAGCAUGGUAUAAUAUAUCUUGAAUAAUUAUUCGGUAUAUAUUAUAUAUAUGUCUAUGUUUAUAAACCAUGUUUAUUGAAUCGUUAAAAAAAUUGAAUCACGUUUUAUAAAACUAUUUUUACUAUAUCUAUUCGGUAUUGAAUAGCAUAACAAUAUGAAUAAUUCGUGAAAUAUAAAAUGUUUAUUUUCGAGUGAAAGUUUACAACUUUGCAUCAACAACUUCUAUUAUCAUUAUUGUAUUAUAUAAACGUUCAUAUUUACAACAUAUAUUAAAAAAUCAUAAUAUUAUGUAAUUUGUUGGAUUCAAUAAUAUUUGACACUUGUUAAUUCUUUUUGAUACAUUCUACAUUUCGUCAUUUGUACCUGAGUGGACUACUUUCUUUUUGUCUGCUGUACAUUUUUCUAUUUGUCGUUCUUAAGCUAGAAGUUUCAAUUAUUUAGGAUUUCACUCGAAUACAUAGCACCAUAUAGACUGUUAAAUAAACAAAGUAACCAUUCAUAAUUUUGAAUUAUGUUUUAAUUGGAAAUUACUGAUAAAAUACUUGAAAUGAAAUCUUAUUUGUACGAAAAUAUACAGAACGAUAACAGUAGUUAUCGAAAUAAUAUGUAAAUACAUUUGUUAAUCAAACUCUAUUUUAUAUUUAUAUUUGCUUUCCACAUUUUAUGCUUUCGAUAAACUGUCCAUAAAAAAUAUCGUUUUUACUGAUUGAAAAUUAAUUAUAAU